ensembl:misc_RNA 7SK 7SK RNA
AGAUGUGAUGGUGAUCUGGCUGUGACCUCUGUCACCUCACUGAUCACCAGGGUUGAUCUGGCUGAUCUGGUUGGCUAGAAAGGUGUCCCCUUCCUCCCUCAUGGCUCCAUGAAUAUCCCUCCUGGAGCUGUAAGCUUGGUGGAAAAGGACACCCCUCCCCAAUAUGGAGGACCCUUCUCUGGUCAAGGGUAUAUGAGUAGCUGUGCUUCCAUCAGAACCUACAAACAGGCUCUCAAGAUCAAUUUGUAGGAGAAAGUGGGCUGGUUAACCUUCCAAAGCCAGACUCUAGACACUUCCAAAUGAGAGGCAGCAUGUGACAUUCUGCCUUUCUUU